UUAGUUAAUGAUAUCGGGACAAUGACAAUGUAUGUGUUAGACAAGUUAGAGAAUUAACACCAAGUUAAUCUCAAACAACAAUGUCACACAAUGAGUAAAGAAAAGGAAAGAGAUGAAGAGGGAAAAGUGAAAGAGAGAAUCAAGCCAAUUACAUGGGAUCAUUCUAUACUUAAAUCAAAGGACUUAAAUAUGGCGCAUCGAGGUUAACCUAUCAUUGAUGCAAAAUAUUGAAGAUGAC
rnacentral:lncRNA from 1 species